AGUAAUGCUUGGGAAUCUGGCUUAUGGAGGGGGAUAACGACGGGAAACUAGUCGCUAAUACCGCGUAUUAUCGGAAGAUGAAAGUGCGGGACUGAGAGGCCGCAUGCCAUAGGAUGAGCCCAAGUGGGAUUAGGUAGUUGGUGGGGUAAAGGCCUACCAAGCCUGCGAUCUCUAGCUGGUCUGAGAGGAUGACCAGCCACACUGGAACUGAGACACGGUCCAG
rnacentral:rRNA from 1 species